AUAACUACUGGAAACGGUAGCUAAUACCGCAUAACGUCGCAAGACCAAAGAGGGGGACCUUCGGGCCUCUUGCCAUCAGAUGUGCCCAGAUGGGAUUAGCUAGUAGGUGGGGUAACGGCUCACCUAGGCGACGAUCCCUAGCUGGUCUGAGAGGAUGACCAGCCACACUGGAACUGAGACACGGUCCAGACUCCUACGGGAGGCAGCAGUGGGGAAUAUUGCACAAUGGGCGCAAGCCUGAUGCAGCCAUGCCGCGUGUAUGAAGAAGGCCUUCGGGUUGUAAAGUACUUUCAG
rnacentral:rRNA from 1 species